GUGCUGCGGAGCACCAUUCUCAGCAGAGCCCUUCCCGUGGAAAGCCUGAAAAAUGACAGCGAAGGGGUUCAAAGACUUGGAGCUGCGGAAUACAAACAAAAUCCCCUAAAAUUACACUGAUGCUUCUUCCAGAUAAGCAGGUUUACGUCAGGAGGACAAUUUAGUCAAGUAUUACUUUCUUCAAAAACACAUGCCCGGGUUGCUGCACAUAAACUGUGGAAUGUGAGCAGGCCCGGAGCGGGCACAGAUGGAGCCCUCUUCUCUCAGUGCCCGCCUCAGCGUUUAGAAAAUGUCUCUCUUUUCUGCAGCAGUUAUGUCUAAGGAAGGAGCCAUGCUCUCAGCAAAAGAUGGAGGGACAAAAACCUUCUCUGAGGCCACUGAACAGAAAAAAAUUGCAAUCCCAGAGCUGACGGGCACCACAGAUGGCCUGCGUGGAGUCCAGACCCAGCCCUGGGAGGUACCAUUGGGAGUGUAGCCUGGUGAGGAACUCGCCAGUACCCAGAAAGCAGGCAUUGGCACUUUCUCCCAGAAUCGACUCACCUACUGUUAUUUUUUUACUGUGUGUAUUUCUUUCGUAGCAUACAUGCAAUUCUUUCCAAUGAGCCUCCCAGUCCUUUUCCUAAAUGCCCGAGUCAAAAGAAGAGGAAAGACCUCCAAAGAGAGACAAAGUCACCCAGCAUCUGUUGUCAUUUUUCUGGUGCCCAAGUGGGAAGACUAGAAAAGUGACAUUCUUCAGAAAAAUGAAAAUCAGGCUCUUCCUAAUUAGCCACAUAGCCUGUUCUAUUCUUGGGUGCUCUAUGACCUGUGAUAUUUUCACAACUUGCUUCAAAAUGCAGGAAGAAGGAAGCCAGGAAAGAAGGAAAAGAAAAGGAAAGAAAAGAAAGCUUAUAUAUUGGAAGAAACUGUAAUUCUUAUGCAUUGAUAUAAGUUUGAGAAGUUUCUCUAAAAGCAGAGCAAUAUAAGUUUGUCGCACAUGUGUUUGGACGUUGGCCUGUAAGAGGGCAGGGCCAUAAGCCAGCUCCAGUGUUACAAAUAGAUUUCACACUGGCAAGCACUCCUGGAGGAAACAUCGUUUUGGAGGGUUUGCUAAUGCGUCAAAGAUCUGACGCCUCCAGAGAGACCUGUCUCUUACCAGUGUUCCUUCAAGGCAGGAGAAAGCGCAGGAACCCGCACUCCGUCCCUGUAUUCAGAUGUCAGGCUUCCUCUUCCUCACCCGCAGUGUGUUACAUCAGGGACACUGCUGCCCAGGAGGCCGUUCCCAAGGUGCCGGCUCCUUCUCACCAGCUUGACAUCAGCUGGUACCUGCUGGCACUCACUGAAUGGGAUGUUAAUGUUAAUGUUGACCUCGGGUACACAAAAGGCCAGAAGAUGAAAACUUGGAUAGAGUUAACAAUCUACAGGACUCAGUGCAAUUGUGCUCGGUGUCACCAUCAAUCUUAAUCUCCGUUUCCAUGGGUGUCUGCCAAGUAAAUCAUAAUGGAUGCAGAAACUCAUAGGGGCCAGGUGAAAACAGAAGGUAACCUCCUCCCUACACAACUCUUAGGGUGCCAAUGUCAGGCAAUUCAGGUUGGCUUGUGCUUUGGCACUUGAUCAGUGGUGACAGUCCCCAUCAGGAUGAUGAGUUCCAGCUUUCAGCUGUACAUAGUGGGUCUGGGCUCCAGGCAGGCAUCUGCAGUGCCCGUCCGCCCCUGGCUUCCUCUCCCUCCCUAGCAGGGCCCAUGCAGGCAGCGGACAGAGAGCACACAAGCACUGAGAAAGGCCAAAAAGCAAGCAGGAGAUGAGACCCCUUUAACCUGGCGCCUCAAAACGGUGAGACCAGCUAUCCAGUCUUUCUUCCCCAGAGACAGCAUGAAAUCCCAGGAACCCCAGAAGACUAAGGAAUUCUUGAUAAGUCUCCAGUUCUGGUGUUAACCUUCUUGACCCCCAUCAGUUCACAUUCGUAAGUCUCCAACUUCCCUUUCAAGACUCACUUAAGAACAAAAUCCUUACUCAAAUAUGAAUUUGUUUUGUUUCAUCUUGGUCAUCUACUUCCGGUACAAAAUGGCAUUCUAGGCCAUGGUGUUGUGCUCAAGAAAGGGGUUCCUGGGAUGCACUGUGGCUAUGGUCCUCACCAGCUCUGCCAGGCGGGCGUGUGACUGGAGUGUACAUCUACAAUCUCAGAACAGUGCAACUGUGGAACAUGCAUGGCAGAGAACUGGUGCUUAGCGAAUGGGCAGGCUGGGGUCUUUGGAUCUGCACCACUCCUGUUGCAGGCCAGCGGGACAGAUUGCAGCAUUAAAAUUACAAAAAUAAAUAUCUUUCCAAUCAAA